GACGAACGCUGGCGGCGUGCCUAAUACAUGCAAGUCGAACGAGAGCGACCGGUGCUUGCACUGGUCAAUCUAGUGGCGAACGGGUGAGUAACACGUGGGUAACCUGCUCAUCAGAGGGGGAUAACAUCCGGAAACGGAUGCUAAAACCGCAUAGGUCUUCGAGCCGCAUGGCUUGAAGAGGAAAAGAGGCGCACGCUUCUGCUGAUGGAUGGACCCGCGGUGCAUUAGCUAGUUGGUGAGGUAACGGCUCACCAAGGCCGUGAUGCAUAGCCGACCUGAGAGGGUGAUCGGCCACAUUGGGACUGAGACACGGCCCAAACUCCUACGGGAGGCAGCAGUAGGGAAUCUUGCGCAAUGGGCGAAAGUCUGACGGAGCAACGCCGCGUGAGUGAAGAAGGUUUUCGGAUCGUAAAACUCUGUUGUUAGGGAAGAACAAGUGCUAGAGUAACUGUUAGCGCCUUGACGGUAUCUAACCAGAAAGCCACGGCUAACUACGUG
rnacentral:rRNA from 1 species